GAUGAACGCUGACAGAAUGCUUAACACAUGCAAGUCCACUUGAACUUCGGUUUGGGUGGCGGACGGGUGAGUAACGCGUAAAGAACUUGCCUCACAGAUAGGGACAACAUUUGGAAACGAAUGCUAAUACCUGAUAUUAUGAUUAUAUGGCAUCGUAUAAUUAUGAAAGCUAUAUGCGCUGUGAGAGAGCUUUGCGUCCCAUUAGCUAGUUGGAGAGGUAACGGCUCACCAAGGCGAUGAUGGGUAGCCGGCCUGAGAGGGUGAUCGGCCACAAGGGGACUGAGACACGGCCCUUACUCCUACGGGAGGCAGCAGGGGGGAAUAUUGGACAAUGGACCAAGAGUCUGAUCCAGCAAUUCUGUGUGCACGAUGAAGUUUUUCGGAAUGUAAAGUGCUUUCAGUUGUGAAGAAAAAAAUGACGGUACCAACAGAAGAAGUGACGGCUAAAUACGUG
rnacentral:rRNA from 1 species